AGCUAGUUGGUGGGGUAAUGGCUCACCAAGGCGACGAUGCGUAGCCGACCUGAGAGGGUGAUCGGCCACACUGGGACUGAGACACGGCCCAGACUCCUACGGGAGGCAGCAGUAGGGAAUCUUCCGCAAUGGACGAAAGUCUGACGGAGCAACGCCGCGUGAGUGAUGAAGGUUUUCGGAUCGUAAAGCUCUGUUGUUAGGGAAGAACAAGUGCGAGAGUAACUGCUCGCACCUUGACGGUACCUAACCAGAAAGCCACGGCUAACUACGUGCCAGCAGCCGCGGUAAUACGUAGGUGGCAAGCGUUGUCCGGAAUUAUUGGGCGUAAAGGGCUCGCAGGCGGUUUCUUAAGUCUGAUGUGAAAGCCCCCGGCUCAACCGGGGAGGGUCAUUGGAAACUGGGAAACUUGAGUGCAGAAGAGGAGAGUGGAAUUCCACGUGUAGCGGUGAAAUGCGUAGAGAUGUGGAGGAACACCAGUGGCGAAGGCGACUCUCUGGUCUGUAACUGACGCUGAGGAGCGAAAGCGUGGGGAGCGAACAGGAUUAGAUACCCUGGUAGUCCACGCCGUAAACGAUGAGUGCUAAGUGUUAGGGGGUUUCCGCCCCUUAGU
rnacentral:rRNA from 1 species